UAAAAUAGGUUCUCAUUACAGCAACAUAAUACCAUAAAAUAGGUUCUCAUUACAGCCACAUAAAACCAUAAAAUAGGUUCUCAUUACAGCAACAUAAUACCAUAAAAUAGGUUCUCAUUACAGCCACAUAAAACCAUAAAAUAGGUUCUCAUUACAGCCACAUAAAAAGAUCAAUUUUCAUCCCAAUCGUCCCACAUUUUCUGCGCUAGCUGAUCACGCAUAGUGGCCCAAAGUUUAUUAUCUUUGUUCAUAUUAGCAUGGGUACGACUGCUUCUUGGAAGACUUCCAAACCAUGCCUCAUCUUCAUAAACAUAAAUAUCAGUACCAUCCUCUAUUAUGAAGUUGUGCAAAGCACAACAAGCCAAAACUAUCUUCAC
rnacentral:lncRNA from 1 species